GGGGAAAGAGACUGGGCACUACGGACCUGACCUUGCACAAGCCAUUUAAUCUCACUCAGCCUCAGUUUCUCCAUUGGUAUGAAAUGGGGGAAAGUCAUAUUGAUCUUAAAAUGUUGAAGCCUCAGUCUGGACUCAAUAAAAGCUUGUUUCCCUCCGCUGCUUUCUUAGAUCUGCAACCGUCUUUUCUCCCUCCUUUCCUUGUAGUUUUUCCCCCCAACACUCUCUGCAGCUGUCGCUCCUCAUCCCUGCCUUCUGGCACCAAUCCCCUCCUAUAGCUCAUCCCCCCUCCGUCCAUCCCUCCUUCUCCCCUGUCUACGUUCUUGUUCUGAAGGGCUACUAAGGGUUAAGGAUCCCAAAGCUUGCAGAGACUGACCCUGUGUAAGCUCUCUAUCCUGUUUUCUGAGUGUGAGGCAGGGAAUGGGCUGGGGUGGGGGUGGGCUGUGUGUCAGCAGGUAAUUAGCACUCCAGCCCUUAGAUAUGGGAGCUCCAGAGCUUGCCCUAAAAUUGGAUCACUUCCUUGUCAUUUUGGGCACUGGGGCUAGGGUGAUUCCUGCAGUUCCCCCAUGGCACCACAUCACUGACUAGAUAUGCUUUCUCCAAAUUGUCCGCAGACCCUUUCAUCCUUCCUCUAUUUUCUAUGGGAAUUGGAAGGCAGCAGGGCUGAUGAAUGGAUGUACUCCUUGGUUUCAUUAUGUGUGUGUUGGGAAGGGAAACUAGAGAGAGAGGAUGGAGGGGUGUCUGCAUUUAGUCCAGACACUGCUUGGCUCGCUCCCCAAGUCCUUCUGUCUCUGACUUCCUGCAGAACUGUGAGCUGAAGGUUUUCCUCGUCUCCCCAUCUUACCCCAUCACACUGAUUUCUUUCUUGGGCACUAGUACUACUUGGUGCCAAGAGUCAUGUUGUUUGGGAUGGAGAUGCCUGCCUCGCCUCUGAGUGUUGUACUUACAUGUCUAUAUGGACAAGCCUGGCAUGAACAGCAGUGUGCCUGGAUCAUUUGGACGAACCUCCUCCCACCCCCCACUCCACUGCAUCUCUGCUGUUCAUACAUUCCCCUUGGCGGGGGGUGGUGGGGGGCAGGGACACACUGAGGCAAUGAAGAAUGUAGAAUAAAAAUGAAUCCAUCCCCCCACUGGAUUUGGGGGCUCCAACGGCUGGUCCGUGCUUUAGGAGAGAAGUUAAUGUUUGCACCAGGCUUCCUGUAGGGAGGUUCCUCCCCAAAGCAGCUGGCGCUAAGGCUUGGGGGCGUCCUACUGAGCUGGGUUCCCGCUCCUUCUUGGGCUCCAUGAAGGAAGUAAGAGGCUGGUUGAGAGCUUCCCUUGGCCCCUUUCUGGUGCCUCCCCACCUGGCUUCAAAUUUAUGAGCAUUGCCCUCAUCAUCCUUUCUUGUUCCAGAGUCAGUGGUCCUCUUCCUAAGGAGGUCUGCUUGCCAUGGGCCAAAAGGCACUGGGUGGGUUUUUUUCUCUUCCUACCCUCAGGAUUGGACCUCUUGGCUUCUACUGGAUUGGGGAUCUGGGAAUAGAGACUGUGAUGGGGCAGAUGGCAUGAUGUCUACACUGCCAGAGAGACUGUGAGGAUGAGAUUAAUAGUGGGGCCUUUGUGAGCUAGAGGCGGGGAGUGUCUAUUCCGGGUUUUGUUCUUGGAGGACUGUAAAAGUGAAGGACAAGACAUGGGCGAUGGAGAUAAGAAAAGCCCAGCUUGAUAUGAAUGGACAUCUUGACCCUCCCUGGAAUGGCACCGGCUCUGGGGGCAGAGUGAGGAGGAGAGGGGAAGGGCUCCUUACAGCCUAGUCUCCCCAUCUUAAGACAGCAUCUUCCACAGAGUCACCUCCUCUGCCCAGAGCUGCCCUCAGAGCAUCCAGUGAAUGCUGGUAGAGGCUUCUAGAAGGGAAGAAGUUGUCCCUCUGAGGCCCCCGUGGGUGACCUGCAGAGACUUCCUGCCUGGGACUCAUCUGUGAUCUGGGACAGAAGCAGAGGAGGCUGGCUGCUGUGAUACCCCCUGACCUCCCCCAGUGCCUUCUUCAGAAUGUCUGCGCUGUCUUCUGACCCUGUUAGUCACUGUGGUUCAUCAAAUAAAACUGUUUGU
ensembl:lncRNA